CACUUUUGAUUCGAAUAAUAUUUGGUACUCAUAAAACUGAGAGCUGUUACGCUUUCAAGCCGACCAGCCCAGUUUCAAAUAAUAUUUUCUUUUUUCACCUCUUCAGAUUAUUUAUUGCACACCUAAAACUCAAGUCUUAACAGUAAGACGUAAGACAUGAGAGUACUACACAAGGUAAAAAGAAGUAAACAUCAAGUAGGAAAACAAGAGUAACAGCAGUAGUUUUAAGAAGGAAAUAUUUACUUAAAAGUCGAGAGAUUUGUUUUGGGAUAUUUAAGAUAACACUAAUCUCAGGAAGUUAACGUAUUCAGCCUGACUAAUUAAGUACUAUUCAAAAACUUGCAGACAGUUCAACCAACUUUUCAAGGCGAAUGCGACAAGUCAUGAACUUUCUCAGUGACACCAAACAGAAAUAGCCGCGCUUUUGUUAGCUAAUCAUCUGUUCCGAUAAAAACCUUAAGAAAUUACCCGAUUCAGGUCCAGAAUAUAUGUAGCUCUGUUUGUCAUCUUUAUUUCUUGCACAAUCGCAUCGUGUUUAUUUGGUAAUUAUAAUUAUUUCUGGGCUAGUAACACGCGUGGCUAGGGAUUUCUUUUAAUUCUGUUUUGUCAGCCGCAGUUGAGCAUUAUAAUUCUCUUUUUAUGGACCUUAUAAAGCAUCGAGAUGCGUGGUAAGUCAAAGAUCUUGAACUCCAGUUUGUGGUGGCUCAACUGGGAUUCGGUUGGGAUUUUUGGCACAUGAAGGGGUAAAGAUAUAAAGAUACUUUCUGUGGGCAAAAUAUUAGCUUCCUCUGCACGUAAGCGCCUCCAAUUAGCAGCUACCAAUGUGAUACUUCGCAAAUCGAAUUCUGAAAGCGAGAGCGUGAUUAAGUUUCCACUGGAAUUGACAUAUUAACUAGAUCUAUUAGCAUAGGGCUCAGAAUUCCGAGAUCACACAUUAAUACGUACGAGUAUCAGUCACCGUUUCCACACAACGCCCCAUUGAAUCCUACCCGAUCAUCUCAGUUUUGGUCGGUUAGCACUCGUUGCGUGUUAAUCGAUUUAUUUAACCGUCAAACAAAUAAAGCAGCACGAAAAAUAUCACUCCAUGUCAUGUGGACACCGACUGAGGUACGAAUUUUGGCAAAAACAAAACGAUAAGCCCGGCUUGGAAUAUCCCCAAUAGCCUUUCUAAUUCAAACAUGGCUUAAACCCAUUCCGUGCUGCGAAAAUCACUCUUUAAGGCCAUUGGAAAAAGGGGUUCCGCUGACUAAGGUCCUUAUAAUUCGUAUAAUAAGAAAGUCAAUAAGAGGUGUCUGGAAAAUCCUUGACAGGUAUUCGGAACGUAUUUAUAAAGCUUCCUUUGAAAAUAUAUCACAUAUUAAAAUUAGUCAUCUGUUUUUAAAAAUAAGUUAGGUGAGCAAAUCAGCACAAGAGUCAUGCAUUUCUUUUUAUUACUAUAAUCUGCGGACUCUUCGAUAAAAAGAUGAUCUGCCUCAGCAGUUUCCACUUUUUCUGCCGAAAUCCAGCCAAUAAAAUCUCAAAAUUUAAAUAAAUUCGUCGCACAUAUUGUGGGCAUCAUAAAAACGCCAUAAAUCUGUGCCCCAAAAGACUGGAAAGAUGUCCCGUGACUGCAGAAGAACGAGCACCCAGUCCAAAACACUUAACUUGGUGUUUUGUAGAUUAUUGGGCAAAUGGGAAAGCGCGCGAUAUAUUUGAAUUAAAAUAUAAAUUGGCGAACGUGCGAGCGGAGCACAAAUAUUUUUUAUUAUAUGGCUGGAGCUAUAGAUGGACAGCAUUUAACCAGAUCACAUACCUCCAACCUUCAACUUGAUCUUAAUAUGCAUGGAACAGGGGACCCAAAUGGAAAUGGCGAUCCCACCAGCCAUUAAAUCAAUGGAUCGCAACUCGCAUUGCAAUAUACAGGCGGCACACAAUGCUGGUUUAAUCCGUAUUUACGCUACACACUAAUCGAUAGUGGGUGAAUGUUAAAGUGUGGUUACACCGGGGAAACAAAAUCCAAAUUCGUAACUGAAGGAAACUAUACACACGCACACAUUAAAGCCUUACAUAGCAUACCCUUGGGUAUGUAUACUCGUAUAUAUAAAAACAACAACAUUUCUCGUUAAACCUAAUAAACAUUACAUUCUGCCUAUGUAUUGUUUAUAAAUAUAAUAAAAAUAUAUAUACUCGUA